UCCCUGGUAGCUCACCUGGUAAAGAGUCUGCCUGCGGUGCAGGAGACCCAGGUUCGACCCCUGGGUAAGGAA
rnacentral:tRNA from 1 species